UACGUAGGGUGCAAGCGUUAAUCGGAAUUACUGGGCGUAAAGCGUGCGCAGGCGGUUUCGUAAGCCAGACGUGAAAGCCCCGGGCUUAACCUGGGAACGGCGUUUGGGACUGCGAGGCUGGAGUGCGGCAGAGGGAGGUGGAAUUCCACAUGUAGCAGUGAAAUGCGUAGAUAUGUGGAGGAACACCGAUGGCGAAGGCAGCCUCCUGGGCCAGCACUGACGCUCAUGCACGAAAGCGUGGGGAGCAAAC
rnacentral:rRNA from 1 species